AUUGAACGCUGGCGGCGGGCCUAACACAUGCAAGUCGAGCGAGCGGCGGACGUGUGAGUAAUGUCGGGGAAACUGCCUGAUGGAGGGGGAUGACGACUGGAAACGGUAGCUAAGACCGCAUACCAUCAGAUAUGCCCAGAUGGGUUUGGCUAGUAGUUGGGGUAACGGCUCACCUGGGCGACGACCCCUCGCUGGUCUGAGAGGAUGACCAGCCACCCUGGACCUGAGACACGGUCCAAACUCCUCCGGGAGGCAGCAGUGGGAAAUAUUGCACAAUGGGCGCAAGCCUGCUGCGGCACUGCGGCGUGUGUGAGGAGGGCCUUCGGGUUGUAAAGCACUUUCAGCGGGGAGGCGUUACCCGCCGAGGAAGGACCGGCUAACUCCGUGCCAGCAGCCGCGGUAAUAC
rnacentral:rRNA from 1 species